CUUGUACACACCGCCCCGUCACACCAUGGGAGUGGGGUGCACCAGAAGUAGGUAGGCUAACCGCAAGGGGGCCGCUUACCACGGUACGCUUCAGUGACGUGGGGUG
rnacentral:rRNA from 1 species